UCAUAUGGGUUAAGAGUUGCAGUAGCUUGAGUUUUCAAAAAAAGCCUGUAGGAAACAUAUGCCCACUACCCACUGAAGCAUGAGAGCACCUAGCAGCAGCUAAAGCCUCCAUGGAGGACUGUGAAGACCCAAAGAUACGAUUAUGAUCAAGUCACAAGGUUUUCCAAGUCUGCUAUACAAAAAUGGCCCACAAGAUGCAAGAUCAUGAAUUUAAGCUCUGCACAAAGCAUGAAAUUUUCAUCCUCGGGGAGGAGAAUUGGAAUUGAGUAGUUUGGAUCAGCUGUAAUGGCUGCGCCCCCUCACAGCCUUUUGUGCAUCUCCUCACUGGCAGAUCAUGAGACGCUGAAAAGUCCUUGACUUAGGUCCAACACUUUGACGACUUCUAUCAAAAUCAUCUAUUCCUAUCAUGAAAGUAAAAUAUCUUCCCUGGUAGUGGCAAGUAAUGUUCCUGCAUUUCCACAGGUAAUCUUUGAGUAAUGUGUUCCUUCAUUUUUCAAAUGCAGACUUUGAGGAAGCUCUAAAGGUCUGGUUUUCAGAGAGCAGAUACUCAGUAUUUCACUCUAAACUGUUUCACUUCAAGUACUUCAAACCACCACCACUUUUGAAAACGUAGACUGGAGUCUCUAGAAUAUCACAUCAGAAAAUGCAAAGAUAGCUAAUUAUUACCUCCCUGGACAGAGUUCACUGCAAAGCAGAUCUCUGCUACUCUGUGAUAAUGAGCACAAAAAAAUGGAACAUAGCUGUGACAGCCACACACUGCUAGGAAUCUUCUAUCAAGACGUUAUACUAGUUGAAUUCUUGUAUUUUUCCACAUACUGCUUUAGGGAGUACCUCUGUGCUUUAGUUGCUGAACAGCUGCAGCUGAAUCCCAAAAAGAUUUUAACAAUCCUGUGCAGCAGUUUUCUGCUGAGUUUAAUUGCACUGACUAUGACAAUUUUCAGGUACCAGUACUUACACGGUACAGAACAAUGCACAUAGAAAACAGCAGGACAACUGAAAAAAUAAGGUUGUUGAUGACUCUGAUAAGCCUAGUUGUCUCUUCUAUUUUGCUUCAGUCAUUAAAGGAACAAAUUCCUACAGUAGUGUGAUUGUUUCUGAUGAGAAAGAGUUGUACUAUCUGAAGUUCAAACCACUACAUAGAUAGGUAGAUAGAUAGAUAGAUAGACAGAUAGAUAAAUAAAAUCAUAGGAUAUUAAAAAAUAUUCCAGUCCUGGUCCUUGAAAUUCCCUCUGCUCUUCAGAUCAAAUAUGUCUUCAUUAAUGUUGUGAAAGAUGAGAGAUAAUUGUCAAAUGGGAAAAGAUACAUAUAAAUAUAUACAUCUAUAUUUAUAGAGGCCCAUAAUUACAUGCAUCAGCCAAGGGUUUCAACAAUAAAUGAUUCUGCAAAAUGCCAGGAACUUUAAAAUUUAAACUAUAAAGAGACAUAUUCACACCCGUCUUCUGAUGGACUGGAGAAGAAAUACAUGUUUAUCAAUGCUGACAGCAAUUAUCCAGAAAAAAAAAGUUAUGACCUUUAUUAUGUCAAUCUGCUUAAACUUAAAAUAUACAGUUUCUGAGGUGCUGUCAAGUACAGUUAACUAAUAAGAGCUCUGCUGGAAUGCAGUGACAGUGUCCUGACAAGCUCCAAGUCUGUGCAAGAUCAAGGCGACUUGGAACCUUGUACCAAUUAUCUGUUGGAUAUAUAACAGUCUCCUACAACUGUCAUGUUUGCAGACAGAGAAGUGAGAAUGAGGAGAGAUACCUUAAUGAGACAUAUGGUACUGUGGUCUUUGGUGUUCUGAAUUAGGAAUGUAUCACAGAUAGUGCUGAGGUCAGAGAAUCACUUCUACCUUCAUCCUUCCUAGGGUACCAUAUAUUUGAUUGGCUGAAGAGGUUGUCUCUAGGUGUGCUAGCUCAGACCAGUUAUAGAGCUGACAGAAAACAGAGUGAUGUUACUUGGCGCAGAAGAAUCUGUCACCAAGCUGAGUAUGAAUGUCGACUGGCAUGACAUGAAUCAUUCUUUACACAGCAAACAAAUAACAAGAGCAAAAAACGAACCCAGCGUGUUGCCUAGCAGUCAUCUGGCGGCAUGAUAGGAAACUGUUGUAAAUAUUUAGUUAUACUCUUUGGCACUGAAAUCACAGUACAUACUGCUAGCAAUACUCAAUUUUUCAGGUCAGCCAGUUGCAGUUAUUAAUCUGGAAAUAUUGACAAAAAUGAUAAAAGAAAAAAGUGUCAAUGAAAAACUAGAAAGUUUGGUAUUAUCUAAUAUUCUGAAGUUUUAAGUCUUGGUUUGAGCUUUUUAUUAAUUUCAUUUUUUACCAAAACAACUGAUUUUUUUUCAGGGUUGAAAUAUUAAACUUCCAGGUAUUUCAAAGGAAAUAUUAAAGUUAAAAAGUUAUUUAAAUAUCAAGGAACUCUUUUGAAAAUAAAUGAUGUGACUAAUGCUACAACUAAUAAUUUGUAUUGCCAAAGUUCUUCUGGAUUAAAUACACAUAAAUCCCCAAAGCUAUCUGUGUAGAGAAAUGGAUAGACUAAACAUUUGGAUAGCUUAUUUAACACGAUAAAAUUGAAAUAAAGAGAAGGAAAAAUAAUUCAGGAUAUUACUCCUGUCAGUCAACUCCCAAAAUCAAACUAACCAGAAAAUGAAAUACUUUCUAAUUCCAAGCAGAAAUUCAAGGAGGCAAAUGGUCUCCUUUUCUUUAUCUAAGAAUUAAUCUCCUUCCCCUUCUCCACAGUUUCUUAAUUACAGUCAAGAGUUGACAUUUAAAAAUAGCAUGAGACAAUCUCAGUCCCAAAAAAAAAAGCUGAUUAAAAAUUAUCUCUCAAAUCAAAACACAACUCUUUAAGAAAUUUACAACCCAAGAAUGUUUCUUAUAUUCUUUUCCCCAUUGUUAUUUCUUCUAUCUUGUUUUCUAGAAAAGAUUUGUACUUAGAAGAAAAAAUUAUUUAUCAACUGAAAUAUAAAAAUAGACAUUAGAAAUAUAGGGGGAAAAUAUAUUUUCCCUCUCAGAGCCCAUUAACAGACAAAUUAUACUGUAAUUUGAUAAUAGCAAUAUAAAUAUGAAUUUACAUGAAAUUUUCUUGA